AAGGUCCUAGCUUAAUUAAAGCGUCUGAGUUGCAUUCAGGAAAUGUAGGGUAGUGUCCUGCGGAUCUUA
rnacentral:tRNA from 1 species